UCUGGUGACUAUAGCAAGGAGGUCACACCUGUUCCCAUGCCGAACACAGAAGUUAAGCUCCUUAGCGUCGAUGGUAGUCGAACUUA
rnacentral:rRNA from 2 species